rnacentral:rRNA from 1 species
ACCGGCGAUACCCGAAUGGGGAAACCCAGUGUGAUUCGUCACACUAUCAUUAACUGAAUCCAUAGGUUAAUGAGGCGAACCGGGGGAACUGAAACAUCUAAGUACCCCGAGGAAAAGAAAUCAACCGAGAUUCCCCCAGUAGCGGCGAGCGAACGGGGAGGAGCCCAGAGCCUGAAUCAGCAUGUGUGUUAGUGGAAGCGUCUGGAAAGGCGCGCGAUACAGGGUGACAGCCCCGUACACAAAAGCGCAUGUGCUGUGAGCUCGAUGAGUAGGGCGGGACACGUGGUAUCCUGUCUGAAUAUGGGGGGACCAUCCUCCAAGGCUAAAUACUCCUGACUGACCGAUAGUGAACCAGUACCGUGAGGGAAAGGCGAAAAGAACCCCGGCGAGGGGAGUGAAAAAGAACCUGAAACCGUGUACGUACAAGCAGUGGGAGC